rnacentral:misc_RNA from 1 species
CGACGGAGGGAAGCAGUGGGACUCCUACGGGAGGCAGCAGUGGGCCCCACUCUCANGGGAGGCAGAAAAGAGACUCCUACGGGAGGCAGCAGUGGGACUCACUCCUACGGGAGGCAGCAGUGGGACUCCUACGGGAGGCAGGCAGUGGGACUCCUACGGGAGGCAGCAGUGGGACUCCUACGGGAGGCAGCAGUGGGACUCCUACGGGACGCAGCAGUGGGGCAGUUGGCUCAGAACGAACGCUGGCGGCUGGCUCAUACAGGAGGCAGGCGUG